rnacentral:rRNA from 1 species
GAUGAACGCUAGCGGCAGGCUUAAUACAUGCAAGUCGAGGGACAGCACAGGUAGCAAUACUGGGUGGUAACCGGCAAACGGGUGCGGAACACGUACACAACCUUCCUUUAAGUGGGGGAUAGCCCAGAGAAAUUUGGAUUAAUACCCCGUAAUAUAGUUGAAUGGCAUCAUUUGAUUAUUAUAGCUACGGCGCUUAAUGAUGGGUGUGCGGCUGAUUAGAUAGUUGGCGGGGUAACGGCCCACCAAGGCUACGAUCAGUAGCUGAUGUGAGAGCAUGAUCAGCCACAAGGGAACUGGGACACGGGCCCGACUCCUACGGGAGGCAGCAGGAAGGAAUAUUGGUCAAUGAACGAAAGUCUGAACCAGCCAUGCCGCGUGAAGGAGUAAGGUCCUCUGGAUUGUAAACUUCUUUUAUUUGGGACGAAAAAGGGCCUUUCUAGGUCAACUGACGGUACCAGAUGAAUAAGCACCGGCUAACUCCGUGCCAGCCGCCGCGGUAACAC